GACGAACGCUGGCGGCGUGCCUAACACAUGCAAGUCGAACGGAAAGGCCCUGCUUUUGUGGGGUGCUCGAGUGGCGAACGGGUGAGUAACACGUGAGUAACCUGCCCUUGACUUUGGGAUAACUUCAGGAAACUGGGGCUAAUACCGGCUAGGAGCUCCUGCUGCAUGGUGGGGGUUGGAAAGUUUCGGCGGUUGGGGAUGGACUCGCGGCUUAUCAGCUUGUUGGUGGGGUAGUGGCUUACCAAGGCUUUGACGGGUAGCCGGCCUGAGAGGGUGACCGGGCACAUUGGGACUGAGGUACGGCCCAGACUCCUACAGUGGACAACAGUCGGGAAUAUUGCACAAUGGGCCGAAGCCUGAUGCAGCAACGCCGCGAUCGGAAUGACGGCCUUCGGGUUGUAAACCGCUUUCACCUGUGACGAAGCGUGAGUGACGGUAAUGAGUAAAGAAGCACCGGCUAACUACGUG
rnacentral:rRNA from 1 species